AGAGCGAACGCUGGCGGCAUGCUUAACACAUGCAAGUCGCACGGGCAGGGGAAACCCUGUCAGUGGCGGACGGGUGAGUAACGCGUAGGUAUCUAUCCUUGGGUGGGGGACAACUGUGGGAAACUACAGCUAAUACCGCAUGAUGACCGAGGUCCAAAGGCCGCAAGGCCGCCUGGGGAGGAGCCUGCGUACGAUUAGCUAGUUGGUGGGGUAACUGCCUACCAAGGCGACGAUCGUUAGCUGGUCUGAGAGGAUGAUCAGCCACAUUGGGACUGAGACACGGCCCAAACUCCUACGGGAGGCAGCAGUGGGGAAUAUUGGACAAUGGGCGCAAGCCUGAUCCAGCAAUGCCGCGUGGGUGAAGAAGGUCUUCGGAUUGUAAAGCCCUUUCGACGGGGACGAUGAUGACGGUACCGUAGAAGAAGCCCGGCUAACUUCGCGCCAGCAGCCGC
rnacentral:rRNA from 1 species